UUCUCCCUCCCUUGUCCUCUUCUCUCUCUAUGGCCAAUCUGCCAUCUCUAACCAGACUGAUUAUUCUUUCAAAACUAUUUUCACUGUGCUCUCCUCAAGAACCUUCAAGGCUUCCUUUACUUACCCAGAGAGGUCCACGUUGCUUGUCGUAGAUUCCAAGGCUGCCUCUAGGGAGGCCUCUCACCCCCUUUCCAGCCUGGUCACUUGCCCAUCACCCCUGCUUGGCUCGAAACUUUUCACAUGUUUCCCAGCUCUGCACACGUACCUCUGUGCUUUUGGCCACUCCACCCGCUCUGCCUGAAACUCUCUCCUCUCCUCACUGUUGUGAAAAAUACCCAUCUUUCAGGGCACAGCCCCACCCCCUCCACGCAGCUGUCAGUUGCCAUUCCAGGGUGAUUUUCUCCUCUGGGUUUGCAUGGGGUUCAGUGUUUGUCCCGUUCACCUGGCACAUGGUCACAUCCUGCCUGUUGUCUGGUGUUUGCUUUUAUUGUUACUAUUUCUCAACCUAAGUAAUGUACACCCUCCCUUAGAGGAAAAAGCUCUCCUGGAUACGUGGGACUACAUCCCUGAACCCCAGCUGGAAGAACAUUAUUUUAUAUACCUUCUUGUAUUGUUUUUUAACACUUGAUUGUUGACAUACUCCAUACGUACGUGCAUCUUAUUUGAGAGCAGGAACUCCUGGGUCUACCAUAAGGCCAGGAAGUGCCCCCAGCUCACCAGGAUAUACCUGCUUUGUCUAGGGGAGUCUUCUGUGGUUGGUAUGUGGUGAGCCAGGAGAUCUGCCAGGGCUUUGGCUGGGGUGAGAACUGUAGCACAUGGUGGAAGAGUUGGCAUUGUUUAAGUUUCUUCUAAGCUGCUGUCACCAACUUCAUGAGUUUUCUUCACUGAGGUGUGUUGGUUUUGUUUUCCCCCCUUCUCUCCCACAGAUUGUGCUUCUUGGUCAGACCUCGCAUCAAGAAUAUGCGGUAGACAACGAGGGGGGAGUCAAGGAAUGGAGGGAAUACGGGGAUAUGUGUAUAAAAACAUAUGAUUGAACUUGGUGUACCCCCCCAAAAAAUAAUAAAUAAAUAAAAUUUAAAAAAAUAAAAGAAAAAAAAAGCAACAACAAAAAAGUUACACCCUAAAAAAAAAAAAAAAAAAAAAAAGAAUAUGCGGUACAUUGCCAGUGAGUGUGCCAUGGUGUUCAUUGUAACUAAGACUUGGGAAAGGGGGGAAGGUCUGAGGGCCUUGGCCAUAGGAACUCUGUCCCCUUGUAAAGUCUCUCUGCUUCCUUGCUUCUGGUCUAACAAAGGCCCAUGGCUUUCUGGGUUGCAUCCCUUCUGUCUGUAGAUCUUGUCAAUGCUGACAAAAUGGCUGGCCGAACUCGGAAAUACAAAGUGAUCUUCAGCCCUCAGAAGCUCUACUCUCUGAAGCUGUUACCAAAAUUCAAGGGCAGUGAGGCCACACAACACCAAGACAUCAGCGUUUGGAGCAGAGAAUGGUUAAUUACAGGGCCAUGCAAGGAGAUGGGUGGCUCAUGCCUGAAAACCCCCCCAAAACGUGAAAGCUUUCAGCAAAGCCCUCUUAUGGGAAAGGUAAGCAAGGGGUGUGGUUCGUUGUUGCAAACUUCUAGGUGUCAGCUCCUUGGUUCUUGAGGUCAGGUCGUGGUCAGGUAAUGAUGUUCCUGUAAAUCUCCACCUAACACAUUACUCGCUAAGCUGACAAGAAAGGACAAGGUCCCAAGG